rfam:Picea glauca, whole genome shotgun sequence.
ACACCUUAAAUCCUAUGUUUUGACACUUCAAAAUUCUAAAAAUUUAUAUAGAACCCUAAUUUAUGACCAUGCUAUCACCUACAAAAUGGAACAAAUUGACUGAUUCAUUUUGGGAGAUAACAGUCCGGACCCUACCUCACCACGAGGUGUUGUCGAUGAGUUAGGUUGUUUGGGAAUGCAUCCCUAAUCGGGUGGUAAAUUCUGUCCAAGGCUAAAUACGGGCGAGAUAACGAUAGAGAACAAUUACCGUGAGGGAAAGAUGAAAAGGUCUUUGAAAAGAGAGUUAAAGAGUGCUUGAAAUUGCCGGGAGGGAUGCGGAUGGAGGCCAACGAUGUGUCUCGGUCGGAUGUGGAAUGACUCAAGUUGGUCCACCGCUCAACUCAAGGUGCGAACCAACACAUGUCAUUGCAUCGGACCAAGCGUGGGUGGAGUACUGCUUGUUCGUUUUUCGUUGUGGUAGUAGAGGAAAGACGCGUGCACCCCUUGGGGUGGGCCACUAUGAACCUGCAUGCUCGUGGUGUUGGUUGGCGGGCUUUCCAUUUGAACCAUCUUGAAACAUGGACGAAGGAGUCUAACAUGUGUGUGAGUCAGUGGGUUUGUAAACCUACGAGGUGUAAGGAAGAUGACGGGAGAGAUCCACUCUCCAUGGGGUGCAUUGUCAACCGACUUUGAGCUUGUGUGAAAGGUGUGAGUGCGAGCACACCUGUUGGGACCCGAAAGAUUGUGAACUAUGCCCGAGCAGGGUGAAGCCACAGGAAAAUCUAGUGGAGGACCGUGGCGAUACUAACGUGAAAAUCAUUCAUCUAACUUGGCUAUAGGGGUGAAAUACUAAUUGAACCAUCUAGUAGAUGGUUUCCUCCGAAGUUUCCCUCGGGACAAUUGGAGCUCACGUGCGAGUUUUAUCGGGUAAGGAAAAUGAUUAGAGGCAUUGGGGACGUAACACCCUCAACCUAUUCUCAAACUUUAAAUAGGUAAUAUGGUGCGUAUUCUCCAUUGAGUCGUGCCACAUAAUCAAGAGCUCCAAGUGGGCCAUUUUUGGUAAGAAGAACUAGCGAUGCAGGAUGAAUUGAAAUUCGAGUUACGGUGCCAAACUGUGUGCUAACCCAGAUCCCACAAAGGGUGUUGGUUGAUUAAGACAAUAGGAUAGUGGUCAUGGAAGUCUAAAUCUUCUGAGUGUGUAACAACUCACCUGUCGAAUCAACUAUCCCUGAAAAUGGAUGGCGCUAAAGCGCACGACCUAUACUCGACUGUCGGAGCAAUUUCCAGGCUUCAAUGAGUAGGAGGAAGUGGGGGUCAUUGAGAAAUCUUGGGUGUGAGCCUGGGUGGACUGAUCCCUGGUGCAUAUCUUGGUGAUAGUAGAAAAUAUUCAAAUGAGAACUUUGAAGACUGAAGUGGGGAAAGGUUCCAUGUGAAAAACACUUUUACAUGGGUUAGUCGAUCCUGAGAGAUGGGGAAGCCUUGUAUCAAGGGUGCACUCUAUAUGAACAUCGAAAGGGAAUCAGGUUAAUAUUAUCAAACUGGGACAUGGAAACGGAUGACAACGUUAGGAAAUCCAGAGACGUCGUCGGGGGCCCCGGGAAGAGUUAUCUUUUCUUUUUAACAGCUUGCCCACCAUGAAAUUGGAUCAACUGGAGAUAGGGUCCAGUAGAUGGAAGAGAAUUGCACAUCUUGCAAUGUCCAGUGUACCCUCGACAACCCUUGAAAAUAUGGAGGACCGAGUACCAUCCAUGCCCGGUCAUACUCAUAACCGCAUUAGGUCUCCAAGGUGAACAACCUCUGGUCAAUAGAAAAAUGUAGGUAAGGGAAGUCAUCAAAAUGGAUCCAUAACUUUGGGAAAAGGAUUGACUCUGAGGGCUAGGCCUAGGGGUCUAAGUCCUCAACCCAUGGGCUCUCAGCAGUAUGCCUGAGCUAUUAUCGCGGCGAGGGUGGGCAGUCUCAUGUUGAUUGGGCUAUGGAUGUAGAAUGUCCCCUCGCAGGGGAUUUUCCCUAGGAGGCAAACAAUCGACUCAAAACUAGUAUGGACAAGGGGAAUUCGACUGUUUAAUUAAAACAAAGAAUUGUGAUGGUCAGAGUUUAAUGUCAAAGUGAAGAAAUUCAACCAAGCACGGGUAAACGAUGGGAGUAACUAUGACUCUCUUAAGGUAUCCAAAUGCCUCGUCAUCUAAUUAGUGACGUGCAUGAAUGGAUUAAUGAGAUUCCCACUGUCCCUAUCUAUUAUCUAGGGAAACCACAUCCAAGGGAACGGGCUUGGCAGAAUCAGCGAGGAAAGAAGACCCUAUUGAGCUUGACUAUAGUCUGACUUUGUGAAAUGACUUGAGAGGUGUAGAAUAAGUGGGAGCUGUUUUCGACGCAAGUGAAAUACCACUACUUUUAACGUUGUUUUACUUAUUCUGUUGGGUGGAGACGGGGCAUCACCCUUGUUUUUUGCCUUAAGACAUGUUUCGACAGGUCGAUCCGAGUGGAAGACAUUGUUAGGUGGGGAUUUGGCUGGGGUGACACAUCUAUUAAAAUAUAAUGCAGGUGUCCUAAGAUGAGCUCAACGAGAAUCGAAAUGUCGUGUGGAACAAAAGGGUAAAAUCUCAUUUGAUUUUGAUUUUCAAUACAAAUACAAACCAUGAAAGUGUGGCCUAUCGAUCCUUUAGAAUUUUUGAAUUUGAAGCUAGAGGUGUCAGAAAAGUUACCACGGGGAUAACUAGCUUGUGGCAACCAAUCAUUCAUAGCAACAUUGCUUUUUGAUCCUUCGAUGUCGGAUCUUCCUAUCAUUGUGCAGUAGAAUUCACCAAGUGUUGGAUUGUUCACCCACCAAUAGGGAACAUGAGCUAGGUUUAGACCUUCGUGAGAUAGGUUAGGUUCACCCUACUAAUGAACCAUGCCACAAUAGUAAUUCAAAUUAGUACGAGAGGAACCAUUUAUUCACACAAUUGGUCAUCGCACUUGGUUGAAAAUCCAGUGGCGCGAAUCUAUCGUGUGUCAGAUUAUUAAUGAACGCCUCUAAGUCAGAAUCCACGCUAGAAGCGGUGAUUCUCACUCCUUGAAUGUAUCUUGACCCACAAUAGGGGUGUCUCUUCAGCACCCCCAAGGGCCCGUGUCACUUGCGAACCUCAACCGAGAAGCAUCUUGGUCAAGGCAUCUUUGAAGUUCAAUUUCAAAUGGUUGUUGAGAAGAAUCCUUUGCAGAUGACUUAAAUACACGACUGGGUAUUGUAAGUGGCAGAGUGGCCUUGCUUCCAUGAUCCAUUGAGAUUCAUCCCUUCAUCACCUUGAUUCAG